rnacentral:misc_RNA from 1 species
UUUUCCUCCACAAAAAGAUGUGAAACUCAGAAGAUGCAGGUGGUAUAAGAGAUUACAAAUUAUACUGACUGUUUCAGUUUGGUAGAAUGGGAUGAGGAUAUAAGAAAUGGGAAAAAUUUACACAUCUUUUCCUCAACAGCUAACUACGACCCUCAGGGGUCCUUUUCAUACUGCUAUUCCAAAAGAUUAUGUGCUGCAACUUUACAAUUCUAUCCUACAUAAUCCAGCUGCUGUCAUCCAAAUUAAGUGUGUAAAAUGUACCAGGUCAGUCAAAAUUGGGUCCUUCCGAAAUUCUUGUCAGGCUUCUUCUCCAGAUGGGAAACUCUUCUUUUCCACGGAAUUCCCCCAAAGAAAAAAAUAAAGAAAGAAAGAAAUUCUGGUUCAAAGUGCCAGCUAAGGAUGCCACUUGGGAAGAUACCACAUUUAUCCAAAACUCAAUUUCCUGACUUCCAGCAUU